rnacentral:rRNA from 1 species
UACGUAGGGUGCGAGCGUUAAUCGGAAUUACUGGGCGUAAAGCGUGCGCAGGCGGUCUGUUAAGACCGAUGUGAAAUCCCCGGGCUUAACCUGGGAACUGCAUUGGUGACUGGCAGGCUUUGAGUGUGGCAGAGGGAGGUAGAAUUCCACGUGUAGCAGUGAAAUGCGUAGAGAUGUGGAAGAAUACCGAUGGCGAAGGCAGCCUCCUGGGCCAACACUGACGCUCAUGCACGAAAGCGUGGGGAGCAAACAGG